rnacentral:tRNA from 1 species
UGGUAGAGAGAGGACUUGCACCUCUGUCUUCGGAGCUACAAACCGCCACCUGCUCGGCCACUCUACC